rnacentral:rRNA from 1 species
UACGUAGGUGGCGAGCGUUGUCCGGAUUUACUGGGCGUAAAGGGCGCGCAGGUGGUUGGCCAAGUCUGUCGUGAAAUCGCCCGGCUCAACUGGGCGGGUGCGGUGGAGACUGGUCGACUGGAGGGACCUAGAGGCCGGUGGAAUUCCCGGUGUAGUGGUGAAAUGCGUAGAGAUCGGGAGGAACACCAGUGGCGAAGGCGGCCGGCUGGGGGUGCCCUGACGCUGAGGCGCGAAAGCGUGGGGAG